CAGUCGCCACGGUAAUACGGAGGGGGCUAGCGUUGUUCGGAAUUACUGGGCGUAAAGCGCACGUAGGCGGCUUUGUAAGUUAGAGGUGAAAGCCCGGAGCUCAACUCCGGAAUUGCCUUUAAGACUGCAGAGCUAGCAGGUGAGAGAGGUGAGUGGAAUUCCGAGUGUAGAGGUGAAAUUCGUAGAUAUUCGGAAGAACACCAGUGGCGAAGGCGGCUCACUGGCUCAUACUGGACGCUGAGGUGCGAAAGCGUGGGGAGCAAACAGGAUUAGAUACCCCCGUAGUCCCUGUCUCUUAUAC
rnacentral:rRNA from 1 species